UAUUAAAAAAUUCAUCCAAUUUUAUUUUUAAAAAUUGGUGUGACUAAUAAAAUACCCAUGUAGUUACACGUAGCAUUUCAUAUGUUCUUCAUGCUAACAUAUAGAGACCAGUUUUUAAUAAUAUAAAUAGAUGGAAUUUUAAGCA
rfam:Gossypium hirsutum cultivar TM-1 chromosome 2, whole genome shotgun sequence